rnacentral:lncRNA from 1 species
AUGUACAUCUGGGCACUCUGGGCAUGGCUCCAGCCAAUCAGCCAGGCUUAUCCUCCCACAGCUUCUCACAAAAGCCUGCUCGCUUGGAGCAGAUGGCAGUGCCAAGACGGAGGCUCCACCGAGAUGGAGGCCACCCAUGGGGCUGGUGCUGCAAGAAUGCUGCUGCUCCUUCCAAACGCCCCUUAUCCUACUCCCGUCUGUAAGGCACGCUGCUUGCCUCAGCUCCUAAACCUUAGAGAGGGCUGCCAAGCUCAAGCCCCACACUCACAACGGGGAGGAGGAAGGAAGAAGAAAAGAGGCCUCACUUCUGUGAUGUUUCACCGACCACAACUGAAGCCACAAUACAGUCACUCCAGACUGCUAGGGAAUUUGGAAGACGUGUUCGGAUCUUUCCAGACUUCAUAUCAGAGAAAAGCAAAUGAAGAGUAGACUGGAAGUGAGCUACCCUACAUCACUGCCACGGCUGGCUUGAGACAAAUUCUAGAAUUGUCUGUCUUUCCUCUAUGUUCUGAGCCCCCUGAAUACAGUGGUACUGGUUUAGUAAUCACAAAAGAAAAUAAGCAACACCAGAGACCCAGUAGUAUGUAUUAAUGUUCAAUAAGCAUUUGUUGAGUUAACAUCUCCUUGAAGGAAAUUAUGGGAAUUAGUGCUCUAUAGGCAAAAGUUCAUGACCAAGAUGAGUCCUGCUGAACAGAGAAUGUUCCUAAAAGCCACUGAGAAAGGCUAUGGUGGAAUCACUAUUUCAGUGGGGAUUUAUUUCUACCUAAGCCUACUUCUAAAGAGAUCGAGAUCAUAUUGCAUGGUUAAAACAAUCUAUGAGCCAUGCCACGUAGAAGGACAAGUAUCAAAGAGGGGGUAUGUGUAGCUGCAGAUUCUGGACAUUAAAAUAAAUGUGAUCACGGGAAAAGAUGAAAAAAAGUCAAAUACAUACCAAGAAGUCAUGUAAUGGAGCUUGAUGUGGGCAUUAAGAUUCCUUGACGGACUGUGCCCAACUGAGGUCAAGCUGCUGGAGUCUCCCCAUUAAAAACCUCCAGAGCCAUAUGAAGACACUGAACACCUAAUUCUUUUUUGUUCAUCUUCCCAUUGGACCCUCCUCAGGGAUUUAACCAAGCGUAAACAGCUACUAUGCAGAAGGCAUGGGAAUAGGCACUUCCAUGUGUCUCAUCUCAUCUGAUUUCUGAACCAAGAGAUGGAUUGGUAAAAUUAAUUUUAGUUCUGCAACUGGCCUGCCUGGAUAUUAUACCAGGAACAGGCGUGGAGUAAGAAUGCAAGAAAGGCUGCCUUGAAAGAACACAACAAAAUAUCAUCUUGUAUUAUGAUAAUUUUAUAAAGUACUUAAUUUUAUAAAGUACUUUCACUCACACUGUCAUAUUUGUUAUUCAAAAUAAGUAUUGAGCAGUUUUCUGGUGAUUGAUGAAAGAGAAAGGAAAAAGUUCAUUUCUACCAUAAUGAGCUCAGAGAUGAAAGAAAGAAAGGAAAGGAGAGAGAGAGAAGGAAAGAAAGCGAAGGAGAGGAGAGAAAUGAGAGAAAGAAAAGAGAAGAGGAGAGGAGAGAAGAAAGAAGAGAGGAGAAAAGAAAGGAAAGAAAAGAGGAGAGAAAAGAGAAGAAAGGAGAGAGAGAGAAAGAGAAAACUGCAGCACAAUAGAAUGUGCUAUGGAAGCUCAGGGUAGGAGAGGCUGGCUCUCCCUACCCUUAUUAAGGUGGGCGCUUUGGAGCUCACAGAGACAUCUGAGUUGCAGAAAGAAGUAAGGAGAGGCCACCCAGAACCACAGACAGAGUAGCAGGCCAUAGUUAUACAGUUAGGGGUCAAUGUGAUGUCCCUGUAUCGUUUUAUGAAGCCUUUGUAAAUGUUAAGCUUGAAGAAAUUUCUGUCCUUGCAACCAAAUGACUCCUGAUUACAACAGUUCUGUAGGCACCCCUGUUUCUCGGCAAUCAGAUGGAAAGACCGGUUCUCUAUCAGGAUCUGUGAACCCUGGAUUUGCCUGCUUGGCUCCUUUAUCUGGCCCUUUAACCUUUCUAAUUGGUGCUCCCCUCUCUCGUCUCAUUGAUGUCACCCCCUGGUUGCCAUACAACAUCAGUCUGGCCCUUAUGCACACAUAUUAUCAUUGCUCUAACAUCCCUCUUUUAAAGGCCAAGAAGAUAAAUAAGAUAUCUAAUCACAGAUAGGCUAAAUCUUAUAAAUCCACUAAUCCUCACAAGUCCAAACAGCCCUCUGGUCCUGAGAACUCAUGCAUAAUCAAUUAUACAAGCAAAAAGCAGAAAAUAAAAUGCACUCAUAAUCCCAUUCCCCAAAUAUAACAAUUGUUAUCGUUUUUAGGGUAUAUACUUCCAGGUUUUGUUUUAUAGACAUUUAUACACAAUUUUCCUUCACAAAAAUAGGGCCAUAUUAAAGUAACUACUUUGUAACUUGCUAUUUUCACAUCUGUAUUAGUAAUGGUUGCUUAAUUACAAGUACAUAGUAGAAAUCAACUUCAAGAUGGCUAAAGCAAAAAAGGAAAUUAAAGCAUCAGAUGGAAUUCAAGGAAGAAUUGACCAGACAGGCAAUGGGAGGGACAAGCCUGGCUGCUUCUUCUUCCUCCUCCUCCCAUUCCCUCACUUUUCCUUCACAUCUCUCUGAACAUCUGCCUCAUCUUUCUCUAAUAAAAGUUUCUUCAUUUGUGUCUAUAGGUUUUAGCUCAGGCCCAAUGUUAAGUGUUUUUUCUUAAUUCAAUUCUUUUUCAAAGUUUCCGUUUUUCCCCCUUUCAAAGAACCAUGUCUUGUAUGGUUUUAAAUCAAUUCUACCAUAUUUCUGUGUUAGAGUUUGUUAAUUGUUUGAAACACAUUAAUUCCUUUCUUCUAAGUUUCCUUGGGUUCAUUUAUUAUUUUUCUAAUCUCUGUUAUUUUCAAUCUCCCUUUUAAAAACUGAUAAAGGCAACUGUGAACUUUCCCAAGCCUCCUUCCCUACAUGAUGCUUAUCCUUUCUUACUCAAAGAUGUGGAAUUGAUGAUGCACAUUAGAGAGGUGGCUACUGAAAAGACUUAUUGCCCCUGGAACAGCACUUCUAGAAACACAGGCACGGAGUCCUUCAGACUCUGCCAGUGCUUUAUGAUUUUAGAAGGUCCUGAAUUUAAAACCAAGAAAUGGCCAGGUGCGGUGGCACACCUGUAAUCCCAACACUUUGAGAGGCCGAAGCAGGUGAAUCACUUGAGGCCAGGAGUUCGAGACCAGCCUGGCCAACAUGGUGAAACUCUGCCUCUACUAAAAAUACAAAAAGUUAGCCGGGUGCUGUGGUACAUGCCUAUAAUCCCAUAUACUCAGGAGGCUGAGGCAGGAGAAUUGUUUAAACCUGGGAGGCGGAAGUUGCAGUGAGCCGAGAUCGCACUGCUGCACUCCAGCCCGGGUGACAAAGUAGGACGCUGUCUCAGAAACUAAAAUAUAAAAUAAAGAAAUGAUUGCAGGUCUACUAUUUGCCAAACAUUGUGCUAGUCACGCUGACAUAUAUCCAGGAAGGAAGAGAGUAUUAUCUUCAUUUUACCAGUAAGAUAACAUAUGGGCAGAGAGCUCACAUGAUCUACCCACUUACACAGCUAGUCAGUGACAGAGCGCAAAGAUGGGCCUAGAUUUAGCUAACUCCAAAUUGUGUGCUCUUUCCAUGACCAAAUGUGUUUCCCAAACAAUUCUGAAAAGAACCAAUAAAAUCACAAAGAAAAGCGUCCCUGAUGUAGCACUAUCUAAAGCCAACAAAACUUUUUAGGAUGCUUAUAUUCAAAAUCUC